AGACUAUAUAAAGAACACAAGGAGGAAGCACCUGCUCUUUGCCUGCUUGUCCUCACUCUCACUGGCAAGUUCAUUUCUUCACUGGCACUGCAGCCUGCCUCUUUGGGGUUCCAACAGAUACUGUAAGACCAGCUGAGACAUCCAGCCUCGUGGACUGAAUAACUACUGGACUCUUGGACUUUCUAUCAAGAGAGAAUAGUUGGACUACAGCAUCUCUGAUCUCUUCUCCUUGUCCUGUCCCCUGCCUCCGGAUAAGGACAUGAGGAAUGCAGUUUGCUGUGAGUCCAGAGGAUGUCUCUUCAGCAUUCAGACUUGUGAGCUUAGAAAGCUGCCAUUGUGAAGAACCAAGGAGCCUCCCCAGCCACAGCACUGAGAAGGUACCCCAGACUGGAGCACAAGACCCAGUGCACACAGCUACUAGACUUCAGUUUCUGUCUUCCAAAACUACCAGCAGCUUUUUUCUCUGCUUGGAAAGCAUAAUUCUGUCAGAAGCCGGGAGUAAGCACCAUAUUUUCUAACAAGAAUACACCGUAAGGACACAAGGAGCCAAGCUGACAACACUGUCACCAGGGUCCUAGAAAACGCUGACUUUUCCAGAAUAUGAAAACUAGCCUUCAGAGUUAAAAUCUUUGAUCUUUUCCUGGUUUAACAGUUGUUAUUGUUGUUUUUUAAACCUCAUAGAACAAAUUAAUUUGACAUGCAUGUUAGAAAGCAGUAUUCCUACUCCACUACCUUAGUUUUUACUUUGGCACGUGUUCUAGAAUCUUCUCACAAAAAAUUAAAGAACACUGGUUAAUCACAUGAUCUAGUGGCUUCUGCUAAUGUGAACAUGAGGGAUGUCAAACACAAAUGUAAUAGUCCCUGUGUGACUGAGAUGAUUAUUGUCAGAGACAGAUCAAACAGCGAAAGAGCUGGAGGGGAAACAAAAGCCUCUUCUCUGUAAUUAGAGUCACCCAACAGAUGACCACAGGAAUAAAUCUGUGAUUCAAACAGGAAA
rnacentral:lncRNA from 1 species